UACAGAGGUGGCAAGCGUUGUUCGGAAUUACUGGGCGUAAAGGGCGCGUAGGCGGCCUUGUAAGUCCUGUGUGAAAUCCCCCGGCUCAACUGGGGAACUGCACAGGAGACUGCUUGGCUUGAGUUCGGGAGAGGGAAGCGGAAUUCCGGGUGUAGCGGUGAAAUGCGUAGAUAUCCGGAGGAACACCGGUGGCGAAGGCGGCUUCCUGGACCGACACUGACGCUGAGGAGCGAAAGCGUGGGGAGCGAACAGG
rnacentral:rRNA from 1 species